GAGUUUGAUCCUGGCUCAGAACGAACGCUGGCGGCAGGCCUAACACAUGCAAGUCGAGCGCGCCUUCGGGUGAGCGGCGGACGGGUUAGUAACGCGUGGGAACGUGCCCUUCUCUACGGAAUAGCCUCUGGAAACGGAGAGUAAUACCGUAUACGCCCUUUGGGGGAAAGAUUUAUCGGAGAAGGAUCGGCCCGCGUUAGAUUAGGUAGUUGGUGGGGUAACGGCCUACCAAGCCUACGAUCUAUAGCUGGUUUUAGAGGAUGAUCAGCAACACUGGGACUGAGACACGGCCCAGACUCCUACGGGAGGCAGCAGUGGGGAAUCUUAGACAAUGGGGGCAACCCUGAUCUAGCCAUGCCGCGUGAGUGAUGAAGGCCUUAGGGUCGUAAAGCUCUUUCGCCUGUGAUGAUAAUGACAGUAGCAGGUAAAGAAACCCCGGCUAACUCCGUGCCAGCAGCCGCGGUAAUACGGAGGGGGUUAGCGUUGUUCGGAAUUACUGGGCGUAAAGCGCGCGUAGGCGGAUUAGAAAGUUGGGGG
rnacentral:rRNA from 1 species